AUUGAACGCUGGCGGCAGGCCUAACACAUGCAAGUCGAGCGAGCGGGGGACGGGGGAGUAAUGUCUGGGAAACUGCCGGAUGGAGGGGGAGAACUACUGGAAACGGUAGCUAAUACCGCAUACCAUCAGAUGUGCCCCGAUGGGAUGAGCUAGUAGGUGGGGUAACGGCUCACCUAGGCGACGAUCCCUAGCUGGUCUGAGAGGAUGACCAGCCAGUCUGGAACUGAGACACGGUCCAGACUCCUACGGGAGGCAGCAGUGGUGAAUAUUGCACAAUGGGCGCAAGCCUGCUGCAGCCAUGCCGCGUGUGUGAAGAAGGCCUUCGGGUUGUAAACUACUUUCAGCGGGGAGGCGUUACCCGCAGAAGAAGCACCGGCUAACUCCGUGCCAGCAGCCGCGGUAAUAC
rnacentral:rRNA from 1 species